rnacentral:rRNA from 1 species
UGGGGAAUUUUGGACAAUGGGCGAAAGCCUGAUCCAGCAAUGCCGCGUGUGCGAAGAAGGCCUUCGGGUUGUAAAGCACUUUUGUCCGGAAAGAAAUCCUUGGCUCUAAUACAGUCGGGGGAUGACGGUACCGGAAGAAUAAGCACCGGCUAACUACGUGCCAGCAGCCGCGGUAAUACGUAGGGUGCAAGCGUUAAUCGGAAUUACUGGGCGUAAAGCGUGCGCAGGCGGUUUGCUAAGACCGAUGUGAAAUCCCCGGGCUCAACCUGGGAACUGCAUUGGUGACUGGCAGGCUAGAGUAUGGCAGAGGGGGGUAGAAUUCCACGUGUAGCAGUGAAAUGCGUAGAGAUGUGGAGGAAUACCGAUGGCGAAGGCAGCCCCCUGGGCCAAUACUGACGCUCAUGCACGAAAGCGUGGGGAGCAAACAGGAUUAGAUACCUCUAGUCCACGCCCUAAAACGAUGUCAACUAGUUGUUGGGGAUUCAUUUCCUUAGUAACGUAGCUAACGCGUGAAGUUGACCGCCUGGGGAGUACGGUCGC